rnacentral:rRNA from 1 species
AAGAUUUGCUGGCGAACCUGCGACACGCCGUUGAGGGAAGAAGCCUUCGGGUUGAAACCUCUUUCACUGGAAAGAAGCUCUCUGAAAGAGGGUUGACGGUCCAGGAGAAGAAGCCCGGCUAACUCUGUGCCAGCAGCCGCGGUAAGACAGAGGUGGCGAGCGUUGUUCGGAAUUACUGGGCGUAAAGGGUGUGUAGGUGGUUGGAUAAGUCAGAGGUGAAAGCCCAUAGCUUAAUUAUGGAAGUGCCUUUGAUACUGUCUGGCUAGAGUGCAGGAGAGGAGGGUGGAAUUCCCGGUGUAGAGGUGAAAUUCGUAGAUGGGGGGAGGAACACUAGCGGCGAAGGCGGCCCUCUGGACUGCAACUGACACUGAAACACGAAAG